GUGGUCUAGUGGUUAGAGCGUCUGCCUUGGAUGCGGGAGGUCGCAGGUUCGAACCCGGUAGAGUCA